GGUUAAGCGACUAAGCGUACACGGUGGAUGCCCUGGCAGUCAGAGGCGAUGAAGGGCGUGCUAAUCUGCGAUAAGCGCCGGUAAGGUGAUAUGAACCGUUAUAACCGGCGAUACCCGAAUGGGGAAACCCAGUGUGAUUCGUCACACUAUCAUUAACUGAAUCCAUAGGUUAAUGAGGCGAACCGGGGGAACUGAAACAUCUAAGUACCCCGAGGAAAAGAAAUCAACCGAGAUUCCCCCAGUAGCGGCGAGCGAACGGGGAGGAGCCCAGAGCCUGAAUCAGCAUGUGUGUUAGUGGAAGCGUCUGGAAAGGCGCGCGAUACAGGGUGACAGCCCCGUACACAAAAGCGCAUGUGCUGUGAGCUCGAUGAGUAGGGCGGGACACGUGGUAUCCUGUCUGAAUAUGGGGGGACCAUCCUCCAAGGCUAAAUACUCCUGACUGACCGAUAGUGAACCAGUACCGUGAGGGAAAGGCGAAAAGAACCCCGGCGAGGGGAGUGAAAAAGAACCUGAAACCGUGUACGUACAAGCAGUGGGAGCACCCUUUGGGGUGUGACUGCGUACCUUUUGUAUAAUGGGUCAGCGACUUAUAUUCUGUAGCAAGGUUAACCGUAUAGGGGAGCCG
rnacentral:rRNA from 1 species